GCCCUGGUAGUGUAGUGGUUAACACACCAGAAACUCAGCACGUAGGUUUAGAGCUGUGAGGAGAUCUUGGGUUCGAAUCCCAAUCGGGGCA
rnacentral:tRNA from 1 species